rnacentral:lncRNA from 1 species
AAAAUCAGUACCCAAUCCUCUAGCCUAAGGCUACUACUACCUAGUAAACCACUAGUACACAGCCUCUAGGUCCUACAGGCUACUAUCUACCUAGUAAAACACUAUUACACUCCUCUAGCCUACUUGUAGGACCUCUUACCUAGUAACCACUAGUACACUCCUCAGCCUAUUGGUUCACUCUCUCUGAGUCACAAAGGAUAACCCUAUUCGUGUGUGUGUAUUAAACAGUGGUUUGACUCCUUUCUUUCUCUAUAGGUUAUUGCUGACAGUGCGAUUGACACACACACACGGGCCAACACACUUGGUUGAUUUUGUGUUUGGAUAAGCGACCUGCGAACACACCCACACACACACACACACACACACACACCCACACACACAACACACACACACACAGAGAAGGACACAGUACUGAAAAACAGCUUUCUGUAGUGUGUAGUCCAGCCUAGCUUAGGGGACAUGAAAUGCACCUAAUGGUCGUAAAUCUGUUCAGCUCUAGCAGCUUUCAUAUGUUACCGACACACUACACUGGUCUGUAAUGAUCAUGUUUUACUUCUGGUUCUGUCAAUGGCUUCCCAUCUCCUCUCCGUCUGCAGUGAUGUAUAAACAAUGGUCUGUAAUGAAUCCUGUUUUACUUCCUGGUUCUGUCUAACGGGGUUUCUCCAUCUCCUCUCAGUCUGCAGUGAUGUAAAACACUGGUCUGUAAUGAUCCUGUUUACUUCCUGGUUCUGUCUAACGGGGCUUCUCCAUCUCCUCUGUCUGCAGUGAGUAUAAACACUGGUCUGUAUGAUCCUGUUUUACUUCCUGUUCUGUCUCAGUGUCUAGCGGGGUUUCUCCAUCUCCUCUGUCUGCAGUGAUGUAUAAACAUGUUGUUAAUGAAUCCUGUUUUACUUCCUUGUUCUGUCUAACGGGGUUUCUCCAUCUCCUCUCUGUCUGCAGUGAGGUUUAAAAACAUGGGUAUUUGCUUCCCCCGUCCAGUCUUUCACCUCAGCGCAGAUGAGGAAAGGAAAACUGGAGGAGAGGACACUGCGUUAAACUAUUGUGACUCAGCCCCUCCAUGUAUGAAAGAGGUUCAAAGGUCAUUUUAGCUGUGGGUCUUUUUAGGUUCAGGUUGAAGUGACCCCCAGGCACAGAUCUAGAUCUGUGGGAUCUACCUUUACCAUUAUUCCUCAACUUCACCAUUUAGGUUGGAAACCCUCUAAAACAGACCACAGAUCAGUCUGUAAAGGUGUUUUCAGCUGUUCUUUCCUUAAAUGUGCUGACACAUAGUGUCCCAAAUGACACCCUAUUCCCUAUAUAGGGCCACUGAUUUUGACCAGGCCCUGUGGCACUCUGUUCCCUAUAUAGGCACUGAUUUUGACCAGAGCCCUGUGGCACUCUAUUCCCUAUAUAGGCACUGAUUUGACCAGGAGCCCUGGUGGCACUCUAUUCCCUAUAUAGGGCACUGAUUUUGACCCGCGCCUGUGGCACUCUCAUUCCCUAUUAGGGUACUGAUUUUGACCAAGCCCUGUGGCACUCUAUUCCCUAUAUAGGGGCACCGAUUUUGACCAGACCCUGUGGCACUCUAUUCCCUAUAUAGGCACUGAUUUUGACCAGAGCCUGUGGCACUUUAUUCCCUAUAUAGGGCACUGAUUUUGACCAGAGCCCUGUGGCACUCUAUUCCCUCUAUAGGGCACUGAUUUUGACCAGCGCCCUGUGGCACUACUAUUCCCUAUAUAGGGUACUGAUUUUGCCAGAGCCCUGUGGCACUCUAUUCCUAUAUAGGGCACUUUUUGACCAGAUUCCUGUGGCACCUGAUUUUGACCAGAGCCCUGUGGCACUCUAUUCCCUAUAUAGGGCACUGUUUUGACCAGAGCCCUGUGGCACCAGAGUGGGAAUAUUGGGACGCACCAUACCACCACCUUCAUA